rnacentral:rRNA from 1 species
AGAGUUUGAUCCUGGCUCAGGACGAACGCUGGCGGCGUGCCUAAUACAUGCAAGUCGUGCGGGGUUAAUGGAGAAGCUUGCUUUUCCAAUAAUCUAGCGGCGGAUGGGUGAGUAACACGUGGGUAACCUGCCUAAAAGACUGGGAUAACUCCGGGAAACCGGGGCUAAUACCGGAUAAUCUACCAGGUCAUAGGACAAGGUAGUAAAAGGUGGCGCAAGCUACCACUUUUAGAUGGGCCCGCGUCGCAUUAGCUAGUUGGUGGGGUAAUGGCCUACCAAGGCGACGAUGCGUAGCCGACCUGAGAGGGUGAUCGGCCACACUGGGACUGAGACACGGCCCAGACUCCUACGGGAGGCAGCAGUGGGGAAUAUUGGGCAAUGGGCGCAAGCCUGACCCAGCGACGCCGCGUGGGCGAUGAAGGCCUUCGGGUUGUAAAGCCCUGUCAUGCGGAAAGAACGACCCUGUGACGCAUACUCACAGGGAGUGACGGUACCGCAGGAGGAAGCACCGGCUAACUCCGUGCCAGCAGCCGCGGUAAUACGGAGGGUGCAAGCGUUGUUCGGAAUUAUUGGGCGUAAAGGGCGCGUAGGCGGUAAUGUAAGUCAGAUGUGA